CCCUUAGAUGUUCUGGGCCGCACGCGCGCUCCACUGAUGCAUUCAACGAGUCUAAAACCUGCUCUGAUAGGGGUGGGUAAUCUUUUGAAUGUGCAUCGUGAUUGGGAUAGAUGAUUGAAAUUUUUCAUCUUCAACGAGGAAUGCCUAGUAAACGCAAGUCAUCAGCUUGCAUUGAUUACGUCCCUGCCCUUUGUACACACCGCCCGUCGCUCCUACCGAUUGAAUGAUCCGAUGAAUAUCAUGGAUUGAGGAUGCAAGUAGGUUCACCUAUCUUCAUCUUCGAGAAGUGAAGUAAAUCUUAUCAUUUAGAGGAAGGAGAAGUCGUAACA
rnacentral:rRNA from 1 species